rnacentral:rRNA from 1 species
UUGGUUAAGUUAGAAAGGGCGCACGGUGGAUGCCUUGGCACUAGGAGCCGAAGAAGGACGGCACUAACACCGAUAUGCUUCGGGGAGCUGUAAGUGAGCUGUGAUCCGGAGAUUUCCGAAUGGGGGAACCCCCUGCCUGUAAUGGGGCAGGAUCCAUGUGUGAAUUCAUAGCACAUGAGAAGGCAGACCCAGGGAACUGAAACAUCUAAGUACCUGGAGGAACAGAAAGCAAAUGCGAUUCCCUGAGUAGCGGCGAGCGAAACGGGAACAGCCCAAACCAGGAGGCUUGCCUCCUGGGGUUGUAGGACACUCUGUACGGAGUUACAAAAGGCGGGAUUAGGCGAAGCGACCUGGAACGGUCCGCGAGACAGGGUAACAGCCCCGUAGCCGAAAACCCCGCCUCUCCAGAGUGGAUCCUGAGUACGGCGGAACACGUGAAAUUCCGUCGGAAUCCGGGAGGACCAUCUCCCAAGGCUAAAUACUUCCUAGUGACCGAUAGUGAACCAGUACCGUGAGGGAAAGGUGAAAAGCACCCCGGAAGGGGAGUGAAACAGAUCCUGAAACCGUGUGCCUACAAGUAGUCAGAGCCCGUUAACGGGUGAUGGCGUGCCUUUUGUAGAAUGAACCGGCGAGUUACGAUUGCAUGCAAGGUUAAGGCGGGAAGCCGGAGCCGCAGCGAAAGCGAGUCUGAACAGGGCGACGGAGUAUGCAGUUGUAGACCCGAAACCAGGUGAUCUACCCAUGUCCAGGGUGAAGGUAAGGUAACACUUACUGGAGGCCCGAACCCACGCACGUUGAAAAGUGCGGGGAUGAGGUGUGGGUAGCGGAGAAAUUCCAAUCGAACCUGGAGAUAGCUGGUUCUCUCCGAAAUAGCUUUAGGGCUAGCCUCAAUUUU